rnacentral:misc_RNA from 1 species
UUUCCGUAGGUGAACCUGCGGAAGGAUCAUUACAGAAUAACCGAGGUGCGGGGGCUGUCGCUGACUUUAACUGUCCUGCACGCCCGAGUGCCCUCACACACAUCCAUCUCACCCCUGUGGGCGCCACCGCGUGCGUGCCCCUUCCGCUUGUUCGGAGCGGGGCUUACGUUUUCAAACAAACUUAGUAUUCAGUGUAGAAUGUAUUCUUUGUUUUUUCGAUAACGAAAUAAUUACAACUUUCAACAACGGAUCUCUUGGUUCUG